GGUAUAGUCAAGUGGUAAGACACCGGGUUUUGGCUCCGGCAUUCGUUGGUUCGAAUCCAGCUACC
rnacentral:tRNA from 1 species